rnacentral:rRNA from 1 species
CACGUAGGGCGCAAGCGUUGUCCGGAAUUAUUGGGCGUAAAGAGCUCGUAGGCGGUUUGUCGCGUCGGCCGUGAAAACUUGGGGCUUAACUCCAAGCUUGCGGUCGAUACGGGCAGACUUGAGUUCGGCAGGGGAGACUGGAAUUCCUGGUGUAGCGGUGAAAUGCGCAGAUAUCAGGAGGAACACCGGUGGCGAAGGCGGUUCUCUGGGCCUUACCUGACGCUGAGGAGCGAAAGCGUGGGGAGCAAACAGG